UAUGCACUCGUAGCUGAGGCAGCCGCCUCGGCGCAGGAGAAGCUCCGCGUUUGAUCUGAAAACGUUUAUCUAAUUCUUCUGUCUUUUGAUUCAUCUGAAAGCCAGAAAUCGGUGUGAGGGAGCAGCUCGAGAAUCUUCCAUAUGUGAAUUCUCUCUUCCGUCAUGUCAAUAUCGUGUGUUAAUAACUGUGACGUUUGCUUUGAAUUGAUUGUAUUUUUGUUUGCGUGUUCAUAUAUUCUGAUUUGCACAUUGUAUCGAGGGCUAUGUUGUGAUUGCAGUGGCAUGGUCUUUGAGCUUCAGUGCAUAAAUGAAGAGCUGUUAAGUCAGCAGCGGCCAGACAACCGUCUGGAUAGAUCCACUGGUGAAACCGACUUAGUCCUUCACCUACUAAAUCUAUCCCACAAGUGUUUUCUACAUUCUUUCGUUUUUUUGCUUGUCGAAAAGUUUGGAUUUUUGUUGUUCUUGUCGCUUCGUUCGUGGUCAAGAUAUCCUAGUCAGUACCCUUUGGAACUUUCCUAUAAUCCUGCUUUCUGGGUGAUUAAGUUCACAGUUGUUGUUUUAGAUUAUCAUUGACUGUGUUCUGUCUCUAUGGCGGUGUUUCUUGGUAACAGCACUUUGCAUUGAUCGCCAUGCUUGUUUCCGAUGGCAUGGUCUUUUUCUAAGUGCUUAGAGGAAGCGCGGUUUGGUUGGUUUAUCAGCUAUGCAACCGCUGGGGUUAGAUCCAGGUGGUGGACAUGUUUCUGUACUGUUUACCAACUUAAUUCUGUCCCACAAUUCUUAGGCCCUUUUGCCAUUCUUGAUAAAAUUUUAUGCAGCUUCUUUGGGCACCCAACACAGCAUUUGAACCAAGCAAGUAUCUAAGACUAUAGACUAGAUGAUGCUUAUGUGCUAAGGAAGAAGGGUUCUUAUCCAAAUUUGGAGGUUCGGACUAGUAGUGAUACUUGGUAACUAAGUUGGUCAUGUCUUUGUUUAACACUCCGUUCCAUGUUGAGUAGUUUUAAUCUGUCUGAAGAAUUAACCUUCCUUUUGAAUAAUGGGUUUAAAUUCUGAAACAAGAUUCAAGAGUUGUUUUUUUGUGGCGAAGUGUAGCGUUGGUUUUUGGUAGGGCUGGACUGGACUCGAGUAUUUGAGAUUGACGGGUUCUCGGGUACCUGGUUUUCUGGGUAAUCAUCAUGUGGGUACUUGUUAUGUAAUGAAGUCGUAGACGGUGACAUGAGAUCUAGAAUCGGGACCAUCAGUUUGGAUUCAGGUUUUUUUUUUAAUGCAGUAGGGUUGUUUCUCGGUUUGUUGAUGUUCUUGGUUGAGAUUUAGCGGUGACUCGUUCCAGCUUUUCGGUAUGGCUAACCAUGGAAUGAUCCCCGAGAUCUUUUCCAGAAGAUCAAAAUAUUGAACGCCCUUGUUCGGGAUUCCAUGCUCAGCAUCAGGAGUGAUGUUCUUGUUGUGUUUAUGAUUCCAAUAUAUCAGUGCUGCGGAGAAUUUGCUCUACUGUGGUGUAAUGGUGUUAGAGCUGGUGGCUUUUGUGAGGUUGAGGGUGAAAUUCCCGGCCAUGUCGUGACCUUACAGGGUACAUUUUGAAACCACCGGCUCAAUCCUCAUGUGCGUGCCCUCGAUUGGUCGAAUUCUCCAUCGGUUCUGAUCUGUCUGGUCUUCGUCAGCAUGGUCGGGAAAUCAGAUAAUGCUCUCUUUUAUGUAUUUCUUUGGAAGUUAAAUUUAUUAUUGUCUGCAGAUGAAGUGGGAUUACAGGCAGUUAAAACAAUUCUAGAAUGUAUAAUGAAUGGUAAAGCCUUGAAUGUAAAUUUAAAAUAUUGGCUCUUAGAGAAUAAAUAAACACUAAACGUUUGUGCA